GAUUAGUGGCGCACGGGUGAGUAACGCAUAGGUCAUGUGCCUCUUAGUUUGGGAUAGCCAUUGGAAACGAUGAUUAAUACCAGAUACUCCCUACGGGGGAAAGAUUUAUCGCUAAGAGAUCAGCCUAUGUCCUAUCAGCUUGUUGGUAAGGUAAUGGCUUACCAAGGCUAUGACGGUGUAUCCGGCCUGAGAGGGUGAACGGACACACUGGAACUGAGACACGGUCCAGACUCCUACGGGAGGCAGCAGUAGGGAAUAUUGCUCAAUGGGGGAAACCCUGAAGCAGCAACGCCGCGUGGAGGAUGAAGGUUUUAGGAUUAUAAACUCCUUUUGUUAGAGAAGAUAAUGACGGUAUCUAACGAAUAAGCACCGGCUAACUCCGCGCCAGCAGCCGCGGUAAUACGGAGGGUGCAAGCGUUACUCGGAAUCACUGGGCGUAAAGAGCGCGUAGGCGGGAUAGUCAGUCAGGUGUGAAAUCCUAUGGCUUAACCGUAGAACUGCAUUUGAAACUACUAUUCUAGAGUGUGGGAGAGGUAGGUGGAAUUCUUGGUGUAGGGGUAAAAUCCGUAGAGAUCAAGAGGAAUACUCAUUGCGAAGGCGACCUGCUGGAACAUUACUGACGCUGAUUGCGCGAAAGCGUGGGGAGCAAACAGGAUUAGAUACCCUGGUAGUCCACGCCCUAAACGAUGGAUGCUAGUUGUUGGAGGGCUUAGUCUCUCCAGUAAUGCAGCUAACGCAUUAAGCAUCCCGCCUGGGGAGUACGGUCGCAAGAUUAAAACUCAAAGGAAUAGACGGGGACCCGCACAAGCGGUGGAGCAUGUGGUUUAAUUCGAAGAUACACGAAGAACCUUACCUAGGCUUGACAUUGAGAGAAUCCGCUAGAAAUAGUGGAGUGUCUGGCUUGCCAGACCUUGAAAACAGGUGCUGCACGGCUGUCGUCAGCUCGUGUCGUGAGAUGUUGGGUUAAGUCCCGCAACGAGCGCAACCCCCUUUCUUAGUUGCUAACAGGUUAUGCUGAGAACUCUAAGGAUACUGCCUCCGUAAGGAGGAGGAAGGUGGGGACGACGUCAAGUCAUCAUGGCCCUUACGCCUAGGGCUACACACGUGCUACAAUGGGGUGCACAAAGAGAAGCAAUACUGCGAAGUGGAGCUAAUCUUCAAAACACCUCUCAGUUCGGAUUGUAGGCUGCAACUCGCCUGCAUGAAGCUGGAAUCGCUAGUAAUCGCGUAUCAGCAAUGACGCGGUGAAUACGUUCCCGGGCCUUGUACACACCGCCCGUCAAGCCAUGGAAGCUGGGGGUACCUAAAGUAUGUAACCGCAAGGAG
rnacentral:rRNA from 1 species